CCAGAGCGAGAGGCAGUGACACUGAGCGGGCGCAGGGGGCUGAGUCGGAGACGGUACCUGAGUUCGGGAGCGGCAAAUAGAGGGGGUAUAGACACUGUGAGCAGCCUCGCCGUAGCCUCUGCGUUCCUGUUGAUUGUCUCUGUGCCCCCUCCCCUACUCCUCGUUUGCUGGCGAAGAGGCUGAGCGCUGCUGUUUGGGGAGGGGGUGUGUGGAGCCGGGUCCUGUGUCUGCAGUGGCUGCUGUCGGGGGAUCGUCUGACCGCGGAGGUGUGGAGAGACUCCUUGGGGGUCGAGCAAAUAACGGGGUUCGGGUGUCUGGUGUGUGAACAUCACAGGUCUAUUCUGGAUAGCAGGUUUUGUGAAGACCUAUAUUCUUUCUUGGACCUCAGAUUUACCAGACAUCUCAUGGUAUUUCCUUUUAUAUUAUUUCUUUAAUGGCCACCAUUUAUUCUCAAUAUAUUUUGUAUGUAUUUAACUUGCCAGUUGGGUAAACCAGGUUUUUGACUCACAGAUAAGAUAUGAAACCUUUGUGGUAGUUUUUUCGAUUGUUGAAUUGUUUUUCUCUAGUUAUGCCUGUGUUAUAAGCUCACAUCUUUUCUACAUCUGUAUACUAUAUUGUCUUGUCUUUUCUUAUUUUUGAAGACACAGUGAUUUGACCCUAAUGAAUUUAUGAUUUAAGUACCAGCUGGAUUUUUAAGCAGCGUGAGUUUUCUGGCUAUGUAGUUUUUGAUAUUAACGAAUAUAGUGAUGUAUUUGCCAUUUUUAUUAUCUCAAUAGCUAUUACCUCUUGCCUUCUGACCUCUUGUAAGUAAAUUCUGAUAUCAUCUUCUCUGCUGAAUCAAACUCAAACGUCUGUGGUUCUUUUACAGAUGUAAUGCUGUGUUUAUCCUGGGGAUGAGCUUCUGUGAUUUUAGAAGAGAGGUGCAUUUCUGGAAAAGGUGUCAUGUGGUUGUUCUUAUAGCACUUGCAUAGGUUGACAACUCAUUUGAUUAAUGAGGCCAGAGCUGCAUUUUCAUCCCGGGUGCUCUAAUUCAUUUACCUGUUCUUUGUAGAGUACCUGUUUCAUUCCGUGCACUGUGCAGGAUUUGAGAGAGAGACAGUAAUGACACAAAUAUAAGCUAUUGUCUGAAAUAGGUUUUUGUGGCAUGCUCUUCACUGCUAUUUAAAAACAGCUCAAGUAUAGUGUUAAAUAUUGAAGAUUGUAUACUUAUGUAAAAAUGGGCUGUACUGUUAUUAAAUACAUGCUCAAAUAGAUUGUUUUAGAUUGGAAAUACUACUCAGUUACCUAAAAUAAUACAUAAUUAUUUGACUUCUGUUUUCCAGUUUCUGCCUCUGGUUUAAAAAAGAAAAAAAAAGCAUACAACUAUAUAUUUAGCAACAUACACCUAAAAAAUAAGGUUUCCUAUGAGUCGAAAGAUAAGCUGAGCUGAAGAAAGCUUCUACCAACUAGAUGCUACCAUCAGGGAGUAAUUUUUUUAAUUGUAAUUGUUCUUAGGUCCAGGUCUUCAGCAUUUUAAAGAAAUACAGAAUAAUAUAACAUUUGAUUUAUAUAUUACUUGCAUUUUAUCAUUUAGAAAUUUUAUAAUUUUAUACCUUUGUGCAGGUUAAUAAAUACAGCUUUUUAUGAAGUAACUCCA
ensembl:lncRNA